UACAGAGGUCUCAAGCGUUGUUCGGAUUCAUUGGGCGUAAAGGGUGCGUAGGUGGCGCUGUAAGUCGGGUGUGAAAUUUCGGAGCUUAACUCCGAAACUGCAUUCGAUACUGCGGUGCUUGAGGACUGGAGAGGAGACUGGAAUUCAUGGUGUAGCAGUGAAAUGCGUAGAGAUCAUGAGGAAGACCAGUGGCGAAGGCGGGUCUCUGGACAGUUCCUGACACUGAGACACGAAGGCCAGGGGGAGCAAAACGGGG
rnacentral:rRNA from 1 species